UUGUAGAACGAGCCAACGAGUUACGGUAUGUAGCAAGGUUAAGUACUUAAGGUACGGAGCCGAAGGGAAACCGAGUCUUAAUAGGGCGACUAGUUGCAUGCCGUAGACCCGAAACCGGGUGACCUAUCCAUGGCCAGGUUGAAGCGAGGGUAAAACUUCGUGGAGGACCGAACCACGUUGCUGUUGAAAAAGCAUGGGAUGAGCUGUGGAUAGCGGAGAAAUUCCAAUCGAACUCGGAGAUAGCUGGUUCUCCCCGAAAUAGCUUUAGGGCUAGCGUCGGAUAUGUGUAGUGGAGGUAGAGCACUGAAUGGGCUAGGGGGCAUAUCGCUUACCGAACCUUAUCAAACUCCGAAUGCCAUAUACAUUAAGUCCGGCAGUCAGACUACGAAUGAUAAGAUCCGUGGUCAAAAGGGAAACAGCCCAGACCGUCAGCUAAGGUCCCAAAGUGUAAGUUAAGUGGAAAAGGAUGUGGGAUUUCUAAGACAACUAGGAUGUUGGCUUAGAAGCAGCCACUCAUUUAAAGAGUGCGUAAUAGCUCACUAGUCGAGAGAUCCUGCGCCGAAAAUGUACCGGGGCUAAACUUACCACCGAAGCUACGGAUUUGCAAGUAAUUGCAAGUGGUAGGGGAGCGUCGUAAUCGGGCUGAAGUCGUACCGUAAGGAGCGGUGGACUGAUUACGAGUGAGAAUGUUGGCAUUAGUAGCGAGAUGUAGGUGAGAAUCCUACAGGCCGAAUAUCUAAGGUUUCCUCAGGAAGGCUCGUCCGCUGAGGGUUAGUCGGGACCUAAGCCGAGGCCGAAAGGCGUAGGCGAUGGACAAUCGGUUGAUAUUCCGAUACCACUACCAUCGUUAUUAUCGAGGGUGUGACGGAGAAGGAUAGUGUGUGCUAGCGAUUGGAAAUGCUAGUCUAAGCGUUUAGGAAGUUACGGUAGGCAAAUCCGCUGUAACAAUUCUGAGGCGUGAUGGGGAAGGUCAUUAAGACCGAAGUACAUGAUUCCAUGCUUCCAAGAAAAGCAUCUAGAGAGAGAAGUAGUGCCCGUACCGCAAACCGACACAGGUAGAUGAGGAGAGAAUCCUAAGGCCGGCGGAAGAAUUGCAGUUAAGGAACUAGGCAAAUUGACCCCGUAAGUUCGGGAGAAGGGGUGCCUGCGAGAGCAGGCCGCAGAGAAUAGGCCCAAGCAACUGUUUAGCAAAAACACAGGUCUCUGCUAAAGCGCAAGCUGAUGUAUAGGGGCUGACGCCUGCCCGGUGCUGGAAGGUUAAGGGGAACACUUAGCGCAAGCGAAGGUGUGAACUUAAGCCCCAGUAAACGGCGGCCGUAACUAUAACGGUCCUAAGGUAGCGAAAUUCCUUGUCAGGUAAGUUCUGACCCGCACGAAUGGCGUAAUGACUUGGGCACUGUCUCAACUGCAAAUCCGGUGAAAUUGAAGUGCGAGUGAAGAUGCUCGCUACCCGCGAUUGGACGGAAAGACCCCGUAGAGCUUUACUGUAGCUUAGCAUUGAAUUCCGGUAUUGUCUGUACAGGAUAGGUGGGAGACUGGGAAACUAUGGCGUCAGCCUUAGUGGAGUCAACCUUGGGAUACCACCCUGACAGUACUGGGGUUCUAACAGGACGCCAUGAAUCUGGUGACUGGACAUUGUUAGGUGGGCAGUUUGACUGGGGCGGU
rnacentral:rRNA from 1 species